rnacentral:rRNA from 1 species
AGAGUUUGAUCAUGGCUCAGGACGAACGCUGGCGGCGUGCUUAACACAUGCAAGUCGAACGGAAAGGCCCUGCUUUUGUGGGGUGCUCGAGUGGCGAACGGGUGAGUAACACGUGAGUAACCUGCCCUUGACUUUGGGAUAACUUCAGGAAACUGGGGCUAAUACCGGAUAGGAGCUCCUGCUGCAUGGUGGGGGUUGGAAAGUUUCGGCGGUUGGGGAUGGACUCGCGGCUUAUCAGCUUGUUGGUGGGGUAGUGGCUUACCAAGGCUUUGACGGGUAGCCGGCCUGAGAGGGUGACCGGCCACAUUGGGACUGAGAUACGGCCCAGACUCCUACGGGAGGCAGCAGUGGGGAAUAUUGCACAAUGGGCGGAAGCCUGAUGCAGCAACGCCGCGUGCGGGAUGACGGCCUUCGGGUUGUAAACCGCUUUCGCCUGUGACGAAACGUGAGUGACGGUAAUGGGUAAAGAAGCACCGGCUAACUACGUGCCAGCAGCCGCGGUGAUACGUAGGGUGCGAGCGUUGUCCGGAUUUAUUGGGCGUAAAGGGCUCGUAGGUGGUUGAUCGCGUCGGAAGUGUAAUCUUGGGGCUUAACCCUGAGCGUGCUUUCGAUACGGGUUGACUUGAGGAAGGUAGGGGAGAAUGGAAUUCCUGGUGGAGCGGUGGAAUGCGCAGAUAUCAGGAGGAACACCAGUGGCGAAGGCGGUUCUCUGGGCCUUUCCUGACGCUGAGGAGCGAAAGCGUGGGGAGCGAACAGGCUUAGAUACCCUGGUAGUCCACGCUGUAAACGGUGGGUACUAGGUGUGGGGUCCAUUCCACGGGUUCCGUGCCGUAGCUAACGCUUUAAGUACCCCGCCUGGGGAGUACGGCCGCAAGGCUAAAACUCAAAGGAAUUGACGGGGCCCCGCACAAGCGGCGGAGCAUGCGGAUUAAUUCGAUGCAACGCGUAGAACCUUACCUGGGUUUGACAUGGAUCGGGAGUGCUCAGAGAUGGGUGUGCCUCUUUUGGGGUCGGUUCACAGGUGGUGCAUGGCUGUCGUCAGCUCGUGUCGUGAGAUGUUGGGUUAAGUCCCGCAACGAGCGCAACCCUUGUUCACUGUUGCCAGCACGUUAUGGUGGGGACUCAGUGGAGACCGCCGGGGUCAACUCGGAGGAAGGUGGGGAUGACGUCAAGUCAUCAUGCCCCUUAUGUCCAGGGCUUCACGCAUGCUACAAUGGCUGGUACAGAGAGUGGCGAGCCUGUGAGGGUGAGCGAAUCUCGGAAAGCCGGUCUCAGUUCGGAUUGGGGUCUGCAACUCGACCUCAUGAAGUCGGAGUCGCUAGUAAUCGCAGAUCAGCAACGCUGCGGUGAAUACGUUCCCGGGGCUUGUACACACCGCCCGUCAAGUCAUGAAAGUUGGUAACACCCGAAGCCGGUGGCCUAACCGUUGUGGGGGAGCCGUCGAAGGUGGGACUGGUGAUUAGGACUAAGUCGUAACAAGGUAACCG